GACGAAGGAUGCAAGCGUUAUCCGGAUUUAUUGGGUUUAAAGGGAGCGUAGGUGGCCUUAUAAGUCAGCGGUGAAAUCCAGCAGCUUAACUGUUGAAUUGCCAUUGAUACUGGAGAGCUUGAGUACAGACGAGGUAGGCGGAAUUUAUGGUGUAGCGGUGAAAUGCAUAGAUACCAUAAAGAACACCGAUUGCGAAGGCAGCUUACUAGGCUGUAACUGACGCUGAGGCACGAAAGUGUGGGGAUCAAACAGG
rnacentral:rRNA from 1 species